GAUGAAGAACGUAGCGAAAUGCGAUAAGUAAUGUGAAUUGCAGAAUUCAGUGAAUCAUCGAAUCUUUUAACGCACCUUGCGCCCUUUGGCCAUUCCGAAGGGCAUGCCUGUUUGAGUAUCAUGAACACCUCAACUCUUCAUGGUUUUCCAUGAUGAGCUUGGACUUUGGGGGUCUUGCUGGCCUGUGGGUCGGCUCCUCUCAAAUGAAUCAGCUUGCCGGUUUUUGGUGGGCAUCACAGGUGUGAUAACUAUCUACGCUUGUGGUUUUCCACCAGGGUAACCUUCAGCAGUGGAGGUUCACUGGAGCUUACAAAUGUCUCUCCUCUGUGAGGACAGCCCUUUGAAUGUUUGAUCUCAAAUCAGGUAGGACUACCCGCUGAACUUAAGCAUAUCAAUAAGCGGAGGA
rnacentral:misc_RNA from 1 species